CCUACGGGAGGCAGCAGUGGGGAAUAUUGGGCAAUGGAGGAAACUCUGACCCAGCAACGCCGCGUGAAUGAUGAAGGUCUUCGGAUUGUAAAGUUCUUUUCUAAGGGAAGAAGAAAGUGACGGUACCUUAGGAAUAAGCCUCGGCUAACUACGUGCCAGCAGCCGCGGUAAUACGUAGGAGGCGAGCGUUAUCCGGAAUGACUGGGAGUAAAGGGGGCGUAGGUGGUUUGGCAAGUUAGUAGCGUAACUCCAAGGCUCAACCUUUGAACUACUACUAAAACUGUUGGACUUGAGUGCAGGAGGGGCAACCGGAAUUCCUAGUGUAGCGGUGGAAUGCGUAGAUAUUAGGAGGAACACCAGUGGCGAAGGCGGGUUGCUAGACUGUAACUGACACUGAGGCACGAAAGCGUGGGGAGCAAACAGGAUUAGAUACCCCUGUAGUC
rnacentral:rRNA from 1 species